GAUCUGGGGCUGAACCCAGGAGCUCAUACAUGCUAAAUAAGCAUGCGCUCUACCACUGAGCUAUACCCUCCCCCCAUACCA